GACGAACGCUGGCGGCGUGCUUAGCACAUGCAAGUCGAACGGAAAGGCCCUGCUUUUGUGGGGUGCUCGAGUGGCGAACGGGUGAGUAACACGUGAGUAACCUGCCCUUGACUUUGGGAUAACUUCACGAAACUGGGGCUAAUACCGGAUAGGAGCUCCUGCUGCAUGGUGGGGGUUGGAAAGUUUCGGCGGUUGGGGAUGGACUCGCGGCUUAUCAGCUUGUUGGUGGGGUAGUGGCUUACCAAGGCUUUGACGGGUAGCCGGCCUGAGAGGGUGACCGGCCACAUUGGGACUGAGAUACGGCCCAGACUCCUACGGGAGGCAGCAGUGGGGAAUAUUGCACAAUGGGCGGAAGCCUGAUGCAGCAACGCCGCGUGCGGGAUGACGGCCUUCGGGUUGUAAACCGCUUUCGCCUGUGACGAAGCGUGAGUGACGGUAAUGGGUAAAGAAGCACCGGCUAACUACGUG
rnacentral:rRNA from 1 species